GCUCAGGAUGAACGCUGGCGGCGUGCCUAAUACAUGCAAGUCGAGCGAAUGGAUUAAGAGCUUGCUCUUAUGAAGUUAGCGGCGGACGGGUGAGUAACACGUGGGUAACCUACCCAUAAGACUGGGAUAACUCCGGGAAACCGGGGCUAAUACCGGAUAAUAUUUUGAACUGCAUAGUUCGAAAUUGAAAGGCGGCUUCGGCUGUCACUUAUGGAUGGACCCGCGUCGCAUUAGCUAGUUGGUGAGGUAACGGCUCACCAAGGCGACGAUGCGUAGCCGACCUGAGAGGGUGAUCGGCCACACUGGGACUGAGACACGGCCCAGACUCCUACGGGAGGCAGCAGUAGGGAAUCUUCCGCAAUGGACGAAAGUCUGACGGAGCAACGCCGCGUGAGUGAUGAAGGCUUUCGGGUCGUAAAACUCUGUUGUUAGGGAAGAACAAGUGCUAGUUGAAUAAGCUGGCACCUUGACGNACCAACCAGAAAGC
rnacentral:rRNA from 1 species